AGCCUUUGCUCUUUGAAUCGUUAAUUGGGUUUCUCGCGUUUCGAUUUUAUCCAUUCUUCUUGUUCUUCUGAAGUAGAGAGAGGGAGAGAGAGAUGCAUCUAUGGCCUUCUCUGAGAAUUCGAGAUUCGUUCAAGUUGGAUUACUUGAAGAAACUCGAAUGGAAUAUCCAUCGAAUGAAAACUGAGAAGGAAUCUUCAAGUAAUCAGAAAUUACUCGAUCAUGAAAAAGAAGAUGAUGAUGGGAAAGCACAAUCAGAAUCUCACCCAAAGAUUUUUUGGGUCCUUGGGCUUUGCCAGGAGUUCGUGAUGCUCCUGUCAUGCUGUUACUGUUGCUUCUGCUGUGGAGCAUGUGUUGAUCAGGAAGAGAACUAAUGCUAUGAUCGGGAGGCAUGUUCAUCCUGGAAUCCAUUCCUAAAAUAUGGAAGGUUGUACCAUAUUCUGUACAGUUCUGGUUAUUUUUAUGAUCUUGAAUGUUGCCAUUUUGAACUUUGAAUUACCUGGUCUCUAACAAGACAAUGUAGAUUAAAAAGAAAAGUAAUCAAAUUUAAUCCAAUUACUUUA